UACGAAGGGGGCAAGCGUUGUUCGGAAUUACUGGGCGUAAAGGGCGCGCAGGCGGCUGAUCAAGUCAGAUGUGAAAGCCCCCGGGCUCAACCUGGGAAUAGCAUUUGGGACUGGUCGGCUAGAGUUCGGGAGAGGAGAGUGGAAUUCCCAGUGUAGAGGUGAAAUUCGUAGAUAUUGGGAAGAACACCGGUGGCGAAGGCGGCUCACUGGCUCAUUACUGACGCUCGAGGCGCGAUAGCCGUGGGGAUCAAACAGG
rnacentral:rRNA from 1 species